GCCUGGCUGGCUCAGUCAGUAGAGCAUGAGACUCUUGAUCUCAGGGUCCUGAGUUUGAGCCCCAUGUUAGACG
rnacentral:tRNA from 1 species